rnacentral:rRNA from 1 species
AUUGAACGCUGGCGGCAGGCCUAACACAUGCAAGUCGAACGAGUGGCGGACAGGUGAGUAAUGUCUGGGAAACUGCCUGAUGGAGGGGGCUAACUAAUGGUAACGGUAGCUAAUACCGCAUACCAUCAGAUGUGCCCAGAUGGGAGUAGCUUGUUGGUGGGGUAAAGGCUCACAAAGGCUACGAUCCCUAGCUGGUCUGAGAGGAUGACCAGCCAUAGUGGAACGGAGAAACGGUCCAGACUCCUACGGGAGGCAGCGGUGGGGAAUAUUGCACAAUGGGCGCAAGCCUGAUGCAGCCAUGCCGCGUGUAUGAAGAAGGCCUUCGGGUUGUAAAGUACUUUCAGCGGGGAGGCGUUACCCGCAGAAGAAGCACCGGCUAACGCCGUGCCAGCAGCCGCGGUAAUUC